rnacentral:rRNA from 1 species
AAAGGGUACCUAGACGGGAAAUCAAGCUAAAAUAAGGACUAGUUUCCUUGAGUUUUAUGUGGGAGAAAAGAAUUGUUAGAAGAGAGAUGAAAUGUUAUGAAACUAACAGGACUGGUAACGGCGAAGGCAUUUUUCUACGUAAAAACUGACGUUGAGGGACGAAGCCUGGGGUAACGAUAAGGAUUAGAUACCCUAAUAGUCCCAGGAGACAAUUAUGAAUGUCAUAGGCUAGCUAGUGCAUACUAAAAAUUCGAUAUUAUGUAAUAUGCAAGCCUAUAAAUGAAAGUGAAAGCAUUCCACCUUAAGAGUACAGCGGCAACGCCGAAAUUGAAAUCAUUAGACCGUUAUUGAAAACAGUAGUGAAGUAUGUUAUUUAAUUCGAUGAUCCGCGAAUAACCUUACCACAAUUUGAAUAUUAUGAAAAUAUUACAAGUGCUGCACGGCUGUCUUCAGUUAAUGUCGUGAGAUUCUGGUUAGAUCCAUUAAUUAGCGAAAACCCUUACUAUAUUUGUUUUUUAUAUAGUAGUUCGCCGUGAUAUUGGUACUAUAAAAGGGACUAAGACAAGUCAUCAUG